GACGAACGCUGGCGGCGUGCUUAACACAUGCAAGUCGAACGGAAAGGCCCCUUUGGGGGUACUCGAGUGGCGAACGGGUGAGUAACACGUGAGUAACCUGCCCUUGACUUCGGGAUAACUUCAGGAAACUGGGGCUAAUACCGGAUAGGAAUCCUUGCUGCAUGGUGGGGGUUGGAAAGCUUCGGCGGUUUUGGCUGGACUCGCGGCUUAUCAGCUUGUUGGUGGGGUAGUGGCUUACCAAGGCUUUGACGGGUAGCCGGCCUGGGAGGGCGACCGGCCACAUUGGGACUGAGAUACGGCCCAGACUCCUACGGGAGGCAGCGGUGGGGAAUAUUGCACAAUGGGCGGGAGCCUGAUGCAGCAACGCCGCGUGCGGGAUGACGGCCUUCGGGUUGUAAACCGCUUUCAGCAGGGGCGAAGCUUGUGGUGACGGUACCUGCAGAAGAAGCACCGGCUAACUACGUG
rnacentral:rRNA from 1 species